rnacentral:rRNA from 1 species
UGACGCUGGCGGCAGGCUUACACAUGCAAGUCGAGCGGGGGAAGGUAGCUUGCUACCGGACCUAGCGGCGGACGGGUGAGUAAUGCUUAGGAAUCUGCCUAUUAGUGGGGGACAACAUCUCGAAAGGGAUGCUAAUACCGCAUACGUCCUACGGGAGAAAGCAGGGGAUCUUCGGACCUUGCGCUAAAUAGAUGAGCCUAAGUCGGAUUAGCUAGUUGGUGGGGUAAAGGCCUACCAAGGCGACGAUCUGUAGCGGGUCUGAGAGGAUGAUCCGCCACACUGGGACUGAGACACGGCCCAGACUCCUACGGGAGGCAGCAGUGGGGAAUAUUGGACAAUGGGGGGAACCCUGAUCCAGCCAUGCCGCGUGUGUGAAGAAGGCCUUAUGGUUGUAAAGCACUUUAAGCGAGGAGGAGGCUACUUUAGUUAU